GAUGAACGCUGGCGGCGUGCUUAACACAUGCAAGUCGAGCGAGAAGGAAGAUAUGGAAUCUUCGGAGGAAAUAUCUACUAGAAAGCGGCGGACGGGUGAGUAACGCGUGGGUAACCUGCCUUGUACAGAGGGAUAGCCACUGGAAACGGUGAUUAAAACCUCAUAAAACUAUAUUAUCGCAUGGUAAUAUAGUCAAAACUCAGGUGGUACAAGAUGGACCCGCGUCUGAUUAGCUAGUUGGUGAGGUAAAGGCUCACCAAGGCGACGAUCAGUAGCCGACCUGAGAGGGUGAACGGCCACACUGGAACUGAGAAACGGUCCAGACUCCUACGGGAGGCAGCAGUGGGGAAUAUUGCACAAUGGGCGAAAGCCUGAUGCAGCAACGCCGCGUGAGCGAAGAAGGCUUUCGGGUCGUAAAGCUCUGUCCUAUGGGAAGAAGAAGUGACGGUACCAUAGGAGGAAGCCCCGGCUAACUACGUGCCAGCCGCCGCCGUAACAC
rnacentral:rRNA from 1 species